rnacentral:snRNA from 1 species
AUAUGGGUUUCUCCACUCAUUGC